GACGAACGCUGGCGGCGUGCUUAACACAUGCAAGUGGAGCGACGAACCGGGGCUUGCCCCGGGGCAGAGCCGCGAACGGGUGAGUAACACGUGGGUAACCCACCCGAUGACCGGGACAACCCGAGGAAACUCGGGCUAAUACCGGAUGUGCUCCCUGACUUCGAGGUCAGGGCGUAAAGAUAGCUUCGGCCUUCGCAUCGGGACGGGCCCGCGGCCCAUUAGCUUGUUGGUGGGGUAACGGCCUACCAAGGCGACGANGGGUAGCUGGUCUGAGAGGACGAUCAGCCACACUGGGACUGAGACACGGCCCAGACUCCUACGGGAGGCAGCAGUGGGGAAUCUUGCGCAAUGCGCGAAAGCGUGACGCAGCAACGCCGCGUGGGGAAGAAGGCCUUCGGUUG
rnacentral:rRNA from 1 species